CCUACGGGAGGCUGCAGUGGGGAAUAUUGGCCAAUGGGGGGAACCCUGAUCCAGCCAUGCCGCGUGUGUGAAGAAGGCCCUCGGGUUGUAAAGCACUUUCAGUGAGGAAGAACGCCUGGUGGUUAAUACCCAUCAGGAAAGACAUCACUCACAGAAGAAGCACCGGCUAACUCCGUGCCAGCAGCCGCGGUAAUACGGAGGGUGCGAGCGUUAAUCGGAAUUACUGGGCGUAAAGCGCGCGUAGGUGGCUUGAUAAGCCGGUUGUGAAAGCCCCGGGCUCAACCUGGGAACGGCAUCCGGAACUGUCAAGCUAGAGUGCAGGAGAGGAAGGUAGAAUUCCCGGUGUAGCGGUGAAAUGCGUAGAGAUCGGGAGGAAUACCAGUGGCGAAGGCGGCCUUCUGGACUGACACUGACACUGAGGUGCGAAAGCGUGGGUAGCAAACAGGAUUAGAUACCCGGGUAGUC
rnacentral:rRNA from 1 species